rnacentral:rRNA from 1 species
GAUGAACGCUGGCGGCGUGCCUAACACAUGCAAGUCGAGCGAACAGACGAUGAGCUUGUGCCUUUGACGUUAGCGGCGGACGGGCGAGUAACACGUGGAUAACCUACUUAUAUUUCUGGGAGAAUUACGGGAAAAAGGAGCCAAUACCGGAUAAUAUAUUGAACCGCAUGGUUCAAUAGAGAAUGACGGCUUUGCUGUCUCUUAUAGAUGGAUCCGCGCUGGAUUAGCUAGUUGGUAAGGUAACGGCUUACCAAGGCGACGAGGCGUAGCCGACCUGAGAGGGUGAUCGGCCACACUGGAACUGAGACACGGUCCAGACUCCUACGGGAGGCAGCAGUAGGGAAUCUUCCGCAAUGGGCGAAAGCCUGACGGAGCAACGCCGCGUGAGUGAUGAAGGCCUUCGGAUCGUAAAGCUCUGUUAUUGGGGAAGAACAGCUGUGUAAGUAAAUAUGGCCGUCUUGACGGUACCUAAUCAAAAAGCACCGGCUAACUACGUG